AUAAUGGGUCAGCGACUUAUAUUCUGUAGCAAGGUUAACCGAAUAGGGGAGCCGAAGGGAAACCGAGUCUUAACUGGGCGUUAAGUUGCAGGGUAUAGACCCGAAACCCGGUGAUCUAGCCAUGGGCAGGUUGAAGGUUGGGUAACACUAACUGGAGGACCGAACCGACUAAUGUUGAAAAAUUAGCGGAUGACUUGUGGCUGGGGGUGAAAGGCCAAUCAAACCGGGAGAUAGCUGGUUCUCCCCGAAAGCUAUUUAGGUAGCGCCUCGUGAAUUCAUCUCCGGGGGUAGAGCACUGUUUCGGCAAGGGGGUCAUCCCGACUUACCAACCCGAUGCAAACUGCGAAUACCGGAGAAUGUUAUCACGGGAGACACACGGCGGGUGCUAACGUCCGUCGUGAAGAGGGAAACAACCCAGACCGCCAGCUAAGGUCCCAAAGUCAUGGUUAAGUGGGAAACGAUGUGGGAAGGCCCAGACAGCCAGGAUGUUGGCUUAGAAGCAGCCAUCAUUUAAAGAAAGCGUAAUAGCUCACUGGUCGAGUCGGCCUGCGCGGAAGAUGUAACGGGGCUAAACCAUGCACCGAAGCUGCGGCAGCGACGCUGAUGCGUUGUUGGGUAGGGGAGCGUUCUGUAAGCCUGCGAAGGUGUGCUGUGAGGCAUGCUGGAGGUAUCAGAAGUGCGAAUGCUGACAUAAGUAACGAUAAAGCGGGUGAAAAGCCCGCUCGCCGGAAGACCAAGGGUUCCUGUCCAACGUUAAUCGGGGCAGGGUGAGUCGACCCCUAAGGCGAGGCCGAAAGGCGUAGUCGAUGGGAAACAGGUUAAUAUUCCUGUACUUGGUGUUACUGCGAAGGGGGGACGGAGAAGGCUAUGUUGGCCGGGCGACGGUUGUCCCGGUUUAAGCGUGUAGGCUGGUUUUCCAGGCAAAUCCGGAAAAUCAAGGCUGAGGCGUGAUGACGAGGCACUACGGUGCUGAAGCAACAAAUGCCCUGCUUCCAGGAAAAGCCUCUAAGCAUCAGGUAACAUCAAAUCGUACCCCAAACCGACACAGGUGGUCAGGUAGAGAAUACCAAGGCGCUUGAGAGAACUCGGGUGAAGGAACUAGGCAAAAUGGUGCCGUAACUUCGGGAGAAGGCACGCUGAUAUGUAGGUGAAGCGACUUGCUCGUGGAGCUGAAAUCAGUCGAAGAUACCAGCUGGCUGCAACUGUUUAUUAAAAACACAGCACUGUGCAAACACGAAAGUGGACGUAUACGGUGUGACGCCUGCCCGGUGCCGGAAGGUUAAUUGAUGGGGUCAGCGCAAGCGAAGCUCUUGAUCGAAGCCCCGGUAAACGGCGGCCGUAACUAUAACGGUCCUAAGGUAGCGAAAUUCCUUGUCGGGUAAGUUCCGACCUGCACGAAUGGCGUAAUGAUGGCCAGGCUGUCUCCACCCGAGACUCAGUGAAAUUGAACUCGCUGUGAAGAUGCAGUGUACCCGCGGCAAGACGGAAAGACCCCGUGAACCUUUACUAUAGCUUGACACUGAACAUUGAGCCUUGAUGUGUAGGAUAGGUGGGAGGCUUUGAAGUGUGGACGCCAGUCUGCAUGGAGCCGACCUUGAAAUACCACCCUUUAAUGUUUGAUGUUCUAACGUGGACCCGUGAUCCGGGUUGCGGACAGUGUCUGGUGGGUAGUUUGACUGGGGCGGUCUCCUCCUAAAGAGUAACGGAG
rnacentral:rRNA from 1 species